rnacentral:rRNA from 1 species
AUUGAACGCUGGCGGCAGGCCUAACACAUGCAAGUCGAGCGAGCGGCGGACGGGUGAGUAAUGUAUGGGGACUGCCCGAUAGAGGGGGAUAACUACUGGAAACGGUAGCUAAUACCGCAUACUAUCGGAUAACCCAGAUGGGAUUAGCUAGUAGGUGAGGUAAUGGCUCACCUAGGCUACGAUCCCUAGCUGUUCUGAGAGGAUGAUCAGCCACACUGUGACUUAGACACGGCCCAGACUCCAACGGAGGCAGCAGUUGGGAAUUUUGGACAAUGGGGGAAACCCUGAUCCAGCCAUCCCGAGUGAAUGAUGAAGGCCUUCGGGUUGUAAAGUACUUUUGGCAGAGAAGCGAUAUCUGCAGAAUAGGCACCGGCGAACUACGAGCCAGCCACCGCGGUAAUUC